rnacentral:rRNA from 1 species
CCCUUAGAUGUCCUGGGCCGCACGCGCGUUACACUGAUGCAUUCAACGAGCUUAUAACCUUGGCCGAGAGGCCUGGGCAAUCUUGUUAACGUGCAUCGUGAUAGGGAUAGAUUAUUGAAAUUAUUAAUCUUGAACGAGGAAUUCCUAGUAAACGCAGAUCAUCAAUCUGCAUUGAUUACGUCCCUGCCUUUUGUACACACCGCCCGUCGCACCUACCGAUUGGAUGGUCCGGUGAAGCCUCGGGAUUGUGGUUCUUGCCGCUUUAUUGUGGCGUGACCGCGAGAACUUGUCUAAACCUUAUCAUCUAGAGGAAGGUGAAGUCGUAACA